GGCCGGUUAGCUCAGUUAGUUGAGCGUAGCGCUAACAACGCUAAGGUCGCGGGUUCGAUUCCCGUUCGGUCC
rnacentral:tRNA from 1 species